rnacentral:rRNA from 1 species
UACGGGGGGAGCAAGCGUUGUUCGGAUUUACUGGGCGUAAAGGGCGCGUAGGCGGCCACCGCAAGUCGACUGUGAAAUCUCCGGGCUUAACCCGGAAAGGUCAGCCGAUACUGCGGGGCUAGAGUGCAGAAGGGGCAACUGGAAUUCUCGGUGUAGCGGUGAAAUGCGUAGAUAAUCGAGAGGAACACCUGCGGCGAAGGCGGGUUGCUGGGCUGACACUGACGCUGAGGCGCGAAAGCGUGGGGAGCAAACAGGA